UACAGAGGGUGCGAGCGUUAAUCGGAAUUACUGGGCGUAAAGCGCACGUAGUCGGCUUUGUAAGUCGGGUGUGAAAUCCCCGGGCUCAACCUGGGAACUGCAUCCGAGACUGCAUUGCUAGAGUAUGGGAGAGGGAAGCGGAAUUUCUGGUGUAGCAGUGAAAUGCGUAGAUAUCAGAAGGAACAUCAGUGGCGAAGGCGGCUUCCUGGACCAAUACUGACGAUCAGGUGCGAAAGCGUGGGGAGCAAACAGG
rnacentral:rRNA from 1 species